GAUGAAAGGAAAUCAAGGAAGAUUUUCAGAGGGCAGGUGGGGGGAGGCUGGGGACCUUCCUGUGGGGGCACAAAUCUUGUCCUGUCACUGGAGGAUGCACACAGCUCAUGGAGACCACGUCAACCACCGGCCUAAGGAAAGCAGCGGGAAAGCUAAAGUGUGACGCGGCUUAAGCAGCUUGUCUGAGUUUGCACAGCUGGCAAAUGGCUGAGCCAUGACUCACACCCAGGUCCAUCCACCGCCAAAGCUCCAGAUCUCUGGCAUCCUUCUAAGGUCAGAAAGGGAAAGAAAUCCCUAAUAAGGAGCCUGUGUGACGGCGUGCCCCCCUCCACUUUCCCACCCCUGCCAAGGACCCGUUUGAAGGCUGUUCACGCCAGUCACUGCAAUCACCAUUGAGCACAGAGAUGACAGUUCCAGCAAGCACUGACCUUCCAGCCCACUCUGCGGAGGAGAAGACUGAGGGGCAGAGAGGCUGUUGAUUUGCUGCAGUUGACUCUGACCCUAAUUUCCCGGCGCUGACUCAAACUCAUCAGGAACACUGCUUUCACUGAGUGUAUGAAGUGGUUUCUCCAUCCGUGUGGCUUUACCUGAACUCACACCGGUCCCACGGCCCAGGUGUGGAGCCGAGCACUCCCCUCUGCCUCCUCCCUGGACUGCAGGACCUGUGUCUCGCUUUAUGAAAGAGAUGCCAUUUGGGGAAGACUCGCAUUGUCGGGAGCGCUGUGGACGCUCCAGAAGGAGAUCAACACGAUGAUGACGAUGCCGGGUGGAGGGAAUGUGCACUUCUCGGGAGCCAGAAAAGAAUAAUCUGAAUGUCUCCAGCAUCAAGAAAAGACCAGUAUUGAAGGUGAUGGAUGCCUUAAUUACGCUGAUUGGAUCUUUACAAAUUAUAUUAAUGUAUUAAAUUAUUACAUGUAUGCAGAAAGUCUGUACACCUAUUAUGCACCAAUAAAAAAGAAAUUUUUUAAAGUGAGCAAAGGCCCCUUUGCCUUGGAUCUCAAGUCUAAGAAACAGGCCCUGAUGCCUUUAGGAAACCCCAAAAAGGAACGGGGCCCUUCUGGGAAGCGGAGCUGGUGAAAAAACACCCUGGACCUCAAAAUUGAGCAAGCAGGGUUAUGUUUCCCAGGCCAAACUGUCAUCUUUACCCUAGAAAUUGGGCCACACCUAUGGUGCUGAAUGGCUGUACCUUGGGCUUCAAGUUCCCAGAUCCCACACUCCUUCCAGGUCCUAUGAAAACCCCACAGCAUCCCCAGGGAUCCUCU
rnacentral:lncRNA from 1 species